rnacentral:rRNA from 1 species
UACGGAGGAUGCAAGCGUUAUCCGGAAUGAUUGGGCGUAAAGCGUCCGCAGGUGGCAAUGUAAGUCUGCUGUCAAAGCGUCUGGCUCAACCAGAUAAAGGCAGUGGAAACUACAUAGCUAGAGUAAGGUAGGGGUAGAGGGAAUUCCUGGUGUAGCGGUGAAAUGCGUAGAGAUCAGGAAGAACACCGGUGGCGAAGGCGGGUCUCUGGGCAGUUCCUGACACUGAGGCACGAAGGCCAGGGGAGCAAACGGG